CUGAAGGUAUCAACAGGUUUUGCAACCAGAGGAGAAAUCAUUGGAAAAGGAAGCAGCUUCGGCGGGACCACCAAGGUGUCAUUGGAUUUGACAGUAUUUAAUAAAUCAAAUCUGAACAUACAGAAUAAUGUCUGACCUCAAUACUGUAUUAACUUUUAAGACUUGGGUGUAGAAGUUUGUUGGUAUCUACUGACAGUUACUUUAAAUUAGCAUCUGUAUACAAAUUGAGUAUCUCUGAUCUAAAAAUCUGAAACUCUAAAAUAUGAAAUGUUUUGAGCACAGAUAUGAUGCCACAAGUGGAAAAUUCCACACCUGACCUUCUGUGAUGGGUCACAGCCAAAACACAGGCACACUACAAAUACUGUAUAAAUUGACCUUCUGGCUAGGAGAGAGUGUGUGUGUGCAACGAUCAAUUUCAUGUUUAGACCUGGAUCUUAUAUCCAAGAUAUCUUAUGUAUAUGCAGGCAUUUCCAAAAUUCAAGAGAUUCUUAAACACUUAAUGGUCCCAAGCAUUUCAAAUAAGGGAUACUCAACCUGUAGCACAAAUUUUUUUUUUUGUAACUGACCUAGUCUUAUGACAUUUUAUGGCUUAGGUUCCGAAAUGAAAAUAUCCUGUGGAGAGAAAUUACUAAAUUGCGAGCUCUCCUCAAGUGCUGGUUUAUAACGGGGUCCUAUUCUGGACCAACAAUAUUAAGAAUGAAAAAAAUGUCUUCACAGCUGAAAAAUGUGCUUUGGCUUAAAAGAGAUACAGUAAUUAAUCAUAUCUUUUGUCAUUAUUGCUUAUUUCUUAGAGUAGGGUCAUUUCUGGCUUUCUCAAAGCAAAAGAGUAUUUCAUUUUCUGCAUUUUUCUGAUUUUAGCCUUUGAGACAACUGUUAAUUAACACCUUCUGCAUUUUAUAAAGAGUCCUCAGUAUCUGGACUGUAAAAUACCACCCACUAGAUAUAACAAUUUUUGUACUUACAAACACUGCCAUUUUCUUAGAGAUGAAUUGUUGAGAAGAGUAACACUAUGAUUUAAAGCUCAGAGUAAAAUGCAAACGCCAUAGCACCUUGAAACCAUUUAUGAGGGGUCUUUUGAAAGUUCACAGAAAAAUGAAAAAUCUAUGCAUGGAUUUAAAAAUAUUUUUGCACCAAAAAUAAACUUAUCUUUUAAUGCCAAUUUUUUCAUGAACUUUUUGAAGUAGCCUUGUAUGCUUGUGCUAACUAGAGCUGUGAAAUGGUUGAAAUGUUUUAUCAGCCAACUUUUAUUUGACUCUUUAACUCAAGUAACAGUGAUAAACUGUACCUUUUGAUCAAACAGGUUUGAGAUGAAAAUUAAAAUUUCAUAUUUCUUUUGGAAAACUCUUAAAGAGUUAACAGUUAAGUCAUACUUUGUAAGUGGCAAAAAAGGUUUAAAAUUUGGAAAAAUUUUGUUGAGUACAAUAGUAAUUGCUGUGGAGAGGAUAAAUUGUCAAAAUAAGAAUGUGCUAUAUAUAACGAAGUAUAGAGCUAAAGGAUCUUUCAGUCAGACUUUACCGUGAAACAUGGCUUUUAUAAAUGUCUUGUCUGGUAACUUUACUCACUGUCAGUAUGUAGUAGCUUAUUAAUGUUUCCUGUACUUCUGAUAGUGAAUUUAAGUUACAAAAAGUGGUCCACUGUCUCUAAUUUAAAAAUGAAGUCGAUAUUGAAAUAAAUGACUCUUUUUUAUAAAAAGGUCUUGGUUUAUUGGGGGGAAGACAAUUACAUAUGUUAAGCAAGUAGAGACUUUUCAAAGGUUUACAUGUUUCAGUUAUGUCUAAACAUCCUUGUAAAAGACUGGUUUUUGAAAUUUGAGAAGCUGAGAACUCAUGAGAAUGUUUAUGGACCAGUUGGAACAUUUCAUGCUAUUAGGUUAGUUUAUCAGUUCCUUCUGGGUGCCAGUGUAAUUAACACAUUGUGACUCCAGGCACUAAAAUAAUUCACUGGACAGUUAUGAGUUGGUUAAUUCAGGUGAUGGUGUAGGAGAUGCUUUUUAUAUUAUUGAACUUAAAAUUUGCUUAUAUAGAACUAUUGGCCUACACGAGUCUGCAAAGCCGAAUUUUAAAACACUGGUGAAGAUCAAGUCUAAAGUACUCUCAUGUUUUGGGUUUCUGUGGUCAAACUGUUCACACUGGUCACAUUUUAGUGUCAAAGUAUCGAAGCAAAAGAUAUAGUCAGUAUAAUGCUUAGUUAUCAAAACAGUUUUUUUGGUUCUGGUGUAACAGUAUAAGUGUACUUAUUUAACAAAGUGGUUUUUUGAGGGGGGUUGUUAUAAUUUUCUGUGUUUGAUAUAUGUUAUUUUUUCUUUUUGAAGUUUAUUUAUUUAAAAGGCAGAGAACUUGCAUCCAUUGGUUCACUCCCCAAGAGGUAAUAGCUAGUGCUGGGCCAGGCUAAUGCCAGGAGCUAGGAAUUCGAUCUGGGUCUCCCAUGUUCCCAGUAGUUGAGCUGUCAUCUGCUGCUUCCCAGGUGCAUUAGCUGGGAGCUGGAUAAGAACUGGAAUUGUCUGGGACUUGAACUGGCACUGCAAUGUGGCAUAUGGGCAUCUCAAGCAGUGGCUUCAUUUGCUGUACAAUGCCUGCCCCAGCUACUAUUUCUUAGCCUUCACUAAUAUUUAUAUUGUCUUUUAAACAGAUCUAUCUGUUGGUUCAUUCCCCAAAUGCCAGUGAUGGCUCAGUCUUGGCCAGGUGGAAGAAAGGAGCCUGGAACCCAAUCUGUUCUCCCAUGUAGGUGGCCAGGAUUCAAGUACUUGAACCAUCAUCUACUGCCUUCUCAGAGUGGCAUGACAAGGGAGGAAGAGGACAGCAAUGGAUGAGAGCGCAGUGUGCCUGAGCCACCAGCUCCAGAGAGGCACUUCACCCCAGAAAUGCUUCACCAUGUCAGUGCAAGCAACAGUAGAAUGCACUUCCUUCCCUCAAGAGUCGCUCCUCCAGCUACAAGAAUCUACUCCCAAAAUUACAAUGCGUCUACUACUGUAUUUCACUGAAUACAAGACCAUCACAUUUAAGGAGCCUCAUGAAUGUAUGAACGGGCCUCACGAAAUUCAUGGGAAAAGUGGAAUUAAAAGAGAAGACAAGGGGCUGGCGCUGUGGUACAGCAGGUUAAGGCCCUGGCCUGAAGCACCAGCAUCCCAUAUGGUUGCCAGUUCUAGUCCCGGCUGCCCCUCUUCUGAUCCAGCUCUCUGCUGUGGCCUGGGAAAGCAGUAGAAGAUGGUUCAAGUCCUUGGGCCCCUGCACCCACGUGGGAGACCCAGAAGAAGCUCCUGGCUCCUGGCUUUGGAUUGGCACGGCUCUGGCUGUUGCGGCCAUCUGGAAAGUGAACCAGCGGAUGGAAGACCUCU